CUCACACUCUCUCUCUCACCAUUACUCCUCUUUUCUCUUCUCCCUCGCCAGACGAUUUUGGUCCCAAAACCCUAACCUCCGUCGCGCCUCUACAAUCCUAUCGUUUUUGACGGUGAAGCCGACGAAGAAGAAGUCGAUUUGCUACCACCACCAAGUUGCUCUCACUUAACGACGAGUGACUAACCGGAGAAGACGAAUUUCAAGUAGAAAAUGGUGAACAAACGAGGCAGGUUGAAGAGUCAGCCUACUCAAACGACAUGUAAUAUUUCUUUUUGGGUUUACAUUACAUUGGUUAUCACCUCUUAUACAUAAUUGUAGACUAAAUCGCACAUUACAUAAUGAAUAGGUGUACAUGAUUUUAGAACAGGCUUCUAUGUAGUAUGACGUCCUUGGCAUUAUACAUCACAUUAUUUACAUUA